GUCUGUCGUGAGGGAGCCACACAUACGACGUUGACAGCCGCAGAACACACGCCAUUAUUACGGAUUACCGAGACAUUGGAGAAGAGUACCAACCGUGUUGGUGGAAGACGCUGGAAAUCUAUCUACGAACCUUCACAUGCUUCGUCAUUGGACAGAUCCGGGCUUGUUCGUGAUGGUGCUGCAUAUGGGAGAGAAGUUGUGCCGUGACAGAGG
rnacentral:lncRNA from 1 species